rnacentral:rRNA from 5 species
GAAACACCCGUUCCCAUCCCGAACACGGAAGUUAAGCCCUCCAGCGCCGAUGGUAGUUGGGGCCAGCGCCCCUGCAAGAGUAGGUCGCUGCUAGGC